ACUCUCCAGUGCUAGCCUGGUGGUGAAUGAGAGGCGGCUCGCAGUUGCGUGUCGGCAUAGACUUUUGGGUUGCACGUGCCACAGCGUACUAGGGAGGGUUUGCGUUUGACCAGCAAGCCAGACACACCUUUAAUAAAAGAACCUCGGGCUGGGUUCUUCCGAGGCCGCCCAGGGGCGCCCUGUUCCCUCUUGGUGGACACUUUCCCUCCUGCUACCACCCCACCCCUGGUGCUAGCGUCUCCCCGGGCUUCCAGCGAGAGCGCCCUCGUUGGAAUGUAGGCCUGGAGCUUUCUCUACAGCCCAGAUCCCUCGGUGGUGCUUUUGGUCUUGCAGAGCCGGGCGGCUCAGGGGGACCCCUAGACGAGAAUAUUCGGUGCUGCCGGAAUGGCGAGGGCCCUUCCCUUUCGGUUGAACAAAGACCCCCGAGGAGAGCGAAAUGCUGGUUGAAUGAAAGAAUAAAC
rnacentral:lncRNA from 1 species